AUGGCUGUCGUCAGCUCGUGCCGUGAGGUGUUGGGUUAAGUCCCGCAACGAGCGCAACCCCUGUUGUCAGUUGCCAUCAGGUAAUGCUGGGGACUCUGACAAGACUGCCCGCGCAAGCGGAGAGGAAGGAGGGGACGACGUCAAGUCAUCAUGGCCCUUACGCCCGGGGCGACACACGUGCUACAAUGGCGCAUACAGCGGGUAGCGACACGGCAACGUGAAGCCAACCUCUAAAAGUGCGUCUCAGUUCGGAUCGGGGCCUGCAACCCGGCCCCGUGAAGCUGGAAUCGCUAGUAAUCGCGCAUCGGCCACGGCGCGGUGAAUACGUUCCCGGACCUUGUACACACCGCCCGUGGGGCGGGGGCGGCGGGCCGGGCGCGGGGCGCGGCGGGCG
rnacentral:rRNA from 1 species